GAUCCAUCCUACAGGAAGAAGGGGCAAUGGAGGCACCCAUUGCGCUAGCUGUCUGAGAGACCAUGAUCAUAAUAUGAGUGCUAUCUAGAAGAAGGUUUCCCCAGAAAAGAUGAGUCUUCUGGUGCUAUAAGGCGGUAAUUAAAAGGAAUCCAGUCAGGAGCUUAUUACCUCUG
rnacentral:lncRNA from 1 species